rnacentral:lncRNA from 1 species
GGUCCCAUCCAGAUACCACAUGACACCCGGUUGUCCUGUCUUCGGAGGCUCCUCCUGGCUGGGACAGCUUCUCAGACUUUCCUUGCUGCGAUGGCUGCUCAAGCUUUGAGGAGUACAGUCAGUGUUCUAUAGAACGUCUCUCUCGCUACUGAAAUUCGUCUAAUGUUUUUCUCAUGAUUAGACUGGGGUUGGGCAUGUUUAGAAAGAAGACCACAGAAGUAAAGUGCCUCCCUCAUCACACCGUGUCAAGGGUACACACCACCACGUGACUUCUCCCUGUCGCUGCUGACCUGGCCACCUGGCUGAGGCAGGAUUGCUCAGCUUCCUCCAUUCUCAGCUUUACACUUGUGAUCUCCUUUCCACGCUGCACUCGCUGGAAGGGAGUCACUGUAUGCAGCCAACACUGAAGGAAUGAAGUUAUUCCACACAGGAUUUAGAAUGCUCCACAGACGAUUUUUCUGCUCUUCCUAUUUAUUUUACAUCACUCUGCUUUUGUGAUACCAGCGACAGAACUCUGCAAACAUCUCUGCUUCGCAGCUGGCAUCCUGUUGGAUUUUUCCAGUAGAGGGAAGCUUCCAUGCUGCAGGAAGAAGGGGCGUGCUCCUUCCCGUUCCUGUCAGCACUGCUGCAGCAGUUUGCUCUCACAGCUGCAUGUGAUCCCAGCUGCCAUUUCUGACCUGCUCAGAACCAGCUUCAUGAUGGGCUCAAAGACCC